AUGGCUGCUCCGGCGAAGGCGUCGUGGAUGGUGGCCAUGAGCGUGGGCGCUGUGGAGGCCCUCAAGGACCAGGCUGGACUCUGCCGCUGGAACUACGCACUCAGGUCCGUCCACCGGACAGCCAAGGCCAACGUUCGAGGCGGCGCCUCGCAGGGCAAGAAGCAGCUGCCUGCCUCCGCGGCAGCCGUGGCAGAGAGGCGGCGAGCGGAGAAUUCCGAGGAGGGGCUGAGGACGGUCAUGUACCUCAGCUGUUGGGGCCCAAAUUAG
rnacentral:rRNA from 1 species